UCUUCAGUGCCAGCCCUCUCCAGCUGCCACCGUCGUACCUCUCAACUGCUGUGCCUCGAAAGCCACAUCUGCUUCAAAAGUUUUAUCACGUCCCUCUUGAACAUGCUUGAAGUUUGGUAUUCAUCUAGGCUAUCAGGUAUAUAAUACAGAGGGAGUUCUCCGAUGACUUCUCGGAGAUCCCUCUUCCUUGCGAUAUAUGCCAUUCUCAGUUGUUCGAGCUCCUCCGGACUGUGCUCUUCGGUCUCGAGGCCGGCGUUGUGGCUCCUCUAAAACUCACCAUUUCUCUCUUUCUUCUCCUCAAAAUUUUCAGGACAU